rnacentral:rRNA from 1 species
CAUGCAAGUCGAACGGAAAGGCCCUUCGGGGUACUCGAGUGGCGAACGGGUGAGUAACACGUGGGUGAUCUGCCCUGCACUUUGGGAUAAGCCUGGGAAACUGGGUCUAAUACCGAAUACACCCUGCUGGUCGCAUGGCCUGGUGGGGGAAAGCUUUUGCGGUGUGGGAUGGGCCCGCGGCCUAUCAGCUUGUUGGUGGGGUGAUGGCCUACCAAGGCGACGACGGGUAGCCGGCCUGAGAGGGUGUCCGGCCACACUGGGACUGAGAUACGGCCCAGACUCCUACGGGAGGCAGCAGUGGGGAAUAUUGCACAAUGGGCGCAAGCCUAAUGCAGCGACGCCGCGUGAGGGAUGACAGCCUUCGGGUUGUAAACCUCUUUCAGCAUCGACGAAGCGGAAGUGACGGUAGAUGCAGAAGAAGCACCGGCCAACUACGUGCCAGCAGCCGCGGUAAUACGUAGGGUGCGAGCGUUGUCCGGAAUUACUGGGCGUAAAGAGCUCGUAGGUGGUUUGUCGCGUUGUUCGUGAAAACUCACA